rnacentral:lncRNA from 1 species
AACUUCUAUUCUUCUAUUGGAAUACCUAACUAAAUCCACAAUAGUAGGUUGGAUUAGAUAUAUUUUGAGUUCGUAUAUAAUUAGUCAAUAUCUAAUAUCCCAUAUACAUGUGUUUCUUACAUAACGUAAACCAACUAUUCAUGUCUUAGAUUCAAUUGGAUUCUAGAAUUAUUCCUCAAAGGAUAGACAAGAGCUGUCUUAUAGCCAUUAGAUUCCAUAUACCUAAUUUUACCCC